CUCGUGUAUAUGGCAGCCCCCCUCCCCCACACUGGUGCAGUGCCUGCUCUCACCUGUUCAGGUAAAUUCAAGCUCAAACUCAAACUGUAAACAAUGGCAGAGAGGCAGCAGCAGAGAAAUGCUCGACCAUUUCCCACGUCGAAGAGAGGAAAUAAUAAGACUGACGAAGGAGAGCAGAGUAAAAAGAGAGAAUUGGACCGAACCAGAGUGUCAGUUCAGAGGUGGAGGAGCUGCUGACUGAGAGCGACGCAGCGUUAGUGGCUUUUCUUCUGGACAGCCUCCAUUAUGUUACCCAUUUGCUCAAGGCAAGUGAAAUACCAGAAGCCCUUUCAGGAGACGUUAGACAGGGAUGUCUUUCUCCACUGUCUCUCUGAGAGCACUAAUACAGUACCUCAAUGUUCAUCUCUUCAAUCUUCAUCUUGUCCCUCCCUCCGGACAACUCUUCCUGCUGCAGCUUCCUCCAUUGCGAGCCGGGCAUUCACAUUGUGUAUGGCCUACAUUGCCAGCUCCAGUGAGGAUGCGAAGCAGACAGGACAUUCGUCAUACUCUUCUCUGUCCUCCUUUAUGUGCACACAGACUUCACAGAUCACAUGGCAGAAUGACAGGGACUCUAAUAACAGCAGAGGACAGCAGCACAGAUCCUCGACUGGAGGACACCACCUGCAGGCCACUCUGACCUCUAUGAACCCGGCCGCUCCCCCUAUUUUAGUUCUUGGCUCUGGCUGCGAAGCUUAACCUGCGUGUCCUCGUGCCCCUGCUGCACCACCACACUCCAGCAGCUGGCUGUACAGUGAAAAUACAUUCAGGAUUGUCUCAUAUUGUGAUCCUCACUCUGCAGGGUGGAUCGGCUGCUUUUAAUUUGAAUGGUUCAGUCUUGAAUCACAGCAUUUCCUGAGUAUCGUAAUUACAACAUUAUGCAUGACUCCA